rnacentral:lncRNA from 1 species
UUUUUUAACUGGUGCAGGCUCAAGGUUUUAGAUCAUUUCACCAUGUUACAUAAUUAUAACAGCUAAUGAUGUAUUUACAAAUGUUUCUUGUAAAUCAUAAUUACGUCAUAGUGCAAAUUUUUACUUUCAUAUUUACUAAAAGGGCCUUCCCAAGGUAUAUAUAAAAGAAGGUCUACUCUUCUCAUCUCUUAACUGUGUUAACUUACAGCUUUUUGUCAACUAUAUUUGCAGCUAGUGACGUCAUCGGAAUUUUGAACGAUAUCAUUUUGUGAGGCCUGGAGUAAGUCCUAUUCUGGAUAAGGCUGGUAUCCAAGAUGUAAUGUCUAAGUCACAAAAAAGGGAAAAUGAACACAGCACAAUGUGAUUUUCUUUCCAUUCCUUAUAUAAUUCCUAAGUUCCAGUGACGUCAUCGUAAACGAUUGAUCAGCUCAAUGUUCAAAUAACAUUGGCCUCAACUCAGCAGGAUCCUGUUUUAAAUAAAAAUAGUUUAUAAAAUACUACCUUCUCUUUUAUAUACCUUAGGCCUUCCCAUUUAAUGCUGGAAAGAAAUAUGUUAUACAAAAAAUAAAAUAUUGCGUUUUAUAAAUAUAUUCACUUUCAUACAACAAGAAAUUAUCAAGUCAUAAGAUUCAGAAGAUAGUUUUUGUAUCGGAGGUGAGUUGGUAAGACUUUCUAAGAUGUGUGACUAAAAUUUAAUCAUAAUCAAAGAAAUAUAUUUAUCUUGAUGUGUAAAUUGAAAGCUUAUUCUCAUUGUUAAUAGUAUUCAAUCAUAAUCUUGUCAUUAUUGUGGACAAUGAAGUGAAAAAAUAAUCUGAUAAAAUUUACUUUGAAAAGGAAGAAAGAGUAAUUUUUUUGACAAUGGCUGGUGUGGACAUAAACUUGGCUCUAAGCAUUGUGCAAGGUAUUUCAUUAAUCAUAUUUGUAUCACUUUGCACAUUCGUUUCAUGGAAUGCUUACCACAAGAUACAACAGGAGGAUGACAAGGACUGGAUGUACCGAUAUCACAUAUUUUUCUUCGUUCUUCUCAUCAUUUCAGCCAUUUGGAAAUAUUUUAGUUCCUUUAAUUUCUUAUCUGUUUUGGGAGUGUUUGAAUACAACACUCCAAUGAUUAUCAUUUACUUAAUAACAAAUUAUCUUCUCCAAAUGCGAACUGGAUGCAUAAUUGCUUUAGCCCUUGACAAAAUAUUCAGUAAAACUCCAAAUCUAUAUUAUAUGACACCAAAAUGGCGCAAGAUAUUUUUCUACUUCUUUUCAAUUCUAUUCCCUUUGUGUUCUCUCAUCAUUGGAGCGCAUGGUAUCCCAUAUCUGACAACUGGAAUUUAUUUUAUUCACUCCUUUAUUGAGAUUGGACUAUUUAUCUUCAUACAUUUAAAAUCUGUUGUUUUAUCCCUUUUUGACAAGACAAUUUUUAUAUAUAUACUCGUUGAUGUCGUACACUAUCUUACUUUUGCUAUUUUCAGCCUUAUAUUUUAUGGGUCUGAAGCAUAUUACAUAACCAAUUUUUUAGAAGCAUUUGUACAACAUGGUUUUCCUAUAGCUUAUGUUAUUUUUAUUUAUCUAAAAGUGGGUCAAAAGAAAUCUGCAAAUGAAUUGGAGAUCUUAGUGUGAAAAAGGAACAACAAUAAACAACUAAUAAUAUUUACUAUUUUUUAACAAUUGUUCAUCAUAACGAAUCACAAUUCAACAAAAAUAUAUACUUGUAUGAUUGUUUAAUUAAGAGUAUAAAGAAUCAAGCCCAUUUACUUAAUUUUUCUAUGUAUAAUAGCAUGGACCACCAAGAAACGUUUGAUCAAGCAACAAGUGCAGAUGUUUAUUCCAGAAUGUAGUUGCAAGUCGAGACUUUACUUGUAACAAUAACAUUUUUUUCUUAUCUUCAAGGAUUCAAUUUUAUGCAUAUCUGUAUUCGAGCAUCUUUAUUAAUAAAAAAUAAAGAGUGAUACUUAAGGUUUUUAUUUUCUAUAGUCAAUUGUUUUUGAUCAAUGUCAUACUUGUUAAUUUUUUUGAAUUAUGUUAU